UACGUAGGGGGCAAGCGUUGUCCGGAUUUAUUGGGCGUAAAGCGCGCGCAGGCGGCUUACUAAGUCUGAUGUGAAAGCCCACGGCUCAACCGUGGAGGGCCAUUGGAAACUGGUAAGCUUGAGUGUAGGAGAGGAGAGCGGAAUUCCUGGUGUAGCGGUGAAAUGCGUAGAUAUCAGGAGGAACACCCGUGGCGAAGGCGGCUCUCUGGCCUAUAACUGACGCUGAGGCGCGAAAGCGUGGGGAGCAAACAGG
rnacentral:rRNA from 1 species